rnacentral:rRNA from 1 species
UACAUGCAAGUCGAACGAAGUAGCAAUACUUAGUGGCAGACGGGUGAGUAACAUGUAGGUAUCUUCCCUUUGGUGAGGAAUAACACGAGGAAACUUGUGCUAAUACCUCAUAAGUCUUUACGGAGAAAGCUUUAUGCGCCGAAGGAUGAGCCUGCACUUGAUUAGUUUGUUGGUGGGGUAAUGGCCUACCAAGACUUUGAUCUAUAGCUGAUCUGAGAGGAUGAUCAGCCACAUUGGGACUGAGACACGGCCCAAACUCCUACGGGAGGCAGCAGUAGGGAAUAUUGCACAAUGGAGGAAACUCUGAUGCAGCGAUGCCGCGUGAGUGAAGAAGGCCUUUGGGUUGUAAAGCUCUUUCGUCGGGGAAGAAAAUGACUGUACCCGAAUAAGAAGGUCCGGCUAACUUCGUGCCAGCAGCCGCGGUAAUACGAAGGGACCUAGCGUAGUUCGGAAUUACUGGGCUUAAAGAGUUCGUAGGUGGUUAAAAAAGUUGGUGGUGAAAUCCCAGAGCUUAACUCUGGAACUGCCAUCAAAACUUUUUAGCUAGAGUAUGAUAGAGGAAAGCAGAAUUUCUAGUGUAGAGGUGAAAUUCGUAGAUAUUAGAAAGAAUACCAAUUGCGAAGGCAGCUUUCUGGAUCAUUACUGACACUGAGGAACGAAAGCAUGGGUAGCGAAGAGGAUUAGAUACCCUCGUAGUCCAUGCCGUAAACGAUGUGUGUUAGACGUUGGAAAUUUAUUUUCAGUGUCGCAGCGAAAGCAUUAAACACACCGCCUGGGGAGUACG